GCGUCGGUGGUGCAACGGUUCAGCAUAUGUUCCCGGAAAGAGUAAGAUCUAGGUCCGAAUCCUAGCUGACGUA